CUCCCGUGUUUCAGUCCGAAUACAGCAAUACCAGUCUAAAAAUCAUUUCAUGUUCUUCUUCACGAUUAAUCGAAGGGUCUUCUGUUUUUGAUCUCUAACCUUUUGUCUUCUCUUUUGAUGAACAAUAACAUUUCUCCUAAUUGAUUCAUCUCCUUUAUCAUGCUAUUUAACUCAAUCACCCCUUUUUGAUUCCUCUGGAAAUUUGACUGAGUGGAAUAUGCAGUCUUCCGCAAAUGAUCGUGAAUACGACUCAAAGAGACAUGAUGUUCAUGAUCGGAACAACAAUGGUUUCGUUUCUUUCUCUGCAUACAUCUCUUCUCUUUUGAAUUAAUCCAUGGACAGGACCAAGCUCAAGAGAUGCUCCACUUCAUCCACCCAUGCUGAAGCGGCUGAUGAGGCCACAGAUCCUUUGCAAAAGGAGAGCGUAGGUACAAAGCUUUUGGAGACUUUGGUUUUGUAUGGUUAAUAUAGACCUUGGACAUGAGUAUAUUUUCUCAGUCCUAACUCCAUUUGAACUCUUUCCUUUAGUACUUUAGCAGGAAAUCGGUGAAUGACAUCUUUAUAUGGGGAACAAAUCGCCUAUGUUGACUUGAUUAGGGUCCUUCACCAAUCUACGAGCGAUGAUCAUUGGUUAUAGUUGCAACUCCUCAUAAAUAUCGUACUGUGACCUCUACCCUAUAAUUAUCUAAUAACUUAUACUGAAUUUUAUAGUAGUUUAUACGUGUUCUGGAACUUGGACUGAACUUUCUGUAUGCAGAUGACAUGAGUACGAUCAAAAAAAGCUUGACUUUAUCAAAUAACAUAACUUCUUUUAAUUUUUCCUAUAUGUUGAUUGCUUCAAGAUGACAGACAUGAUGCGGUUGAGACUCAACAGCAGCUAAGAAGAGCUAAGGACUGGAUCAUCUCCCACCAACUCAAAACUCUCGAGCUCACAGAUGUUCUUUCAAACUUCCCGGACAUAUUCUCGGCUCUGACUGAAGAAAUCAUGGACCAGCUGGAGAAAGAAUGUGUUCUUUUAGAACAAGGAAGGACACAUACAUCAAAAACAGAGACGAGGGAAUUCAAGUUUGUGACAAAAAGAUCUGAUGUAAAGAACUAAAGCUGCUCCAAAAGACUGGAAGAGCUAUAGCUCCUGAAGACUACAGUUACAUGAAAGUACAGCAGUUUGUAGGCUAAUCCAAGAAGGCUACAUGCAAGAUACAAGCAGCCGCAGUCUAGGUUUGCUUUCUCAGUUCAGACCCUGUUUUAUGUUUGUUGGUCGUAAGGCUGCAUCACUGAUGCCAUGUAUAUAUACAUGGAAGCGUGUAAUUCACUCAAGUCUAACCAAGUAGAACCUGAAUAUAAUCAGAAAAGUUAUAGUUCCAUUGACCGCAGUGAAAGCACGUGUGAACAAUGAUGGUGUAGCCAACACGCUGAUCCAAAACCAGAGGCGAAGAAAACUGAAAUGCAUAUAUCUGGCGAUAACGUUUUAGGACGUUAAACCGAGAAAGUCAACAAAAGGUGCGGACUUGGCAGAUGAGUUGGCAGCUUGAAGAAGAAGAUAUUUGUUCCCUCGGAAUAUUGGCAGUUAAGGAGUUGUUUAACGUAAGUAGGAGUGCCGAAGGUCUUUGGGAAUUACGAUUCAGAAUUGUAAUCAUAAACAAAGCUAAACUUAGGUCUUGAGACGUUGUUAGAUCAGGAGUGAGAGUUUAGCAGAUCUUCAGGUGAUAUAGAUUUGUAGAUUUUUUAUUCAGGUAUGGGUAUUCAGUGUACCCCAGUUCCAUUUUGUAAGCCAUCUGUUUACAUUGAAUAAAAAGUUACAGAUAUUUAAAGGUGA